GGAGGUGUAGCAAAAGAUGGAUCUUGCAGCGGCCUUUUAAGCCGAAAAACGUGGGUUCGAUUCCCACCGCCUCUACCA
rnacentral:tRNA from 1 species